GAAAUGCGAUAAGUAAUGUGAAUUGCAGAAUUCAGUGAAUCAUCGAAUCUUUGAACGCACAUUGCGCUCGCCAGUAUUCUGGCGAGCAUGCCUGUUCGAGCGUCAUUUCAACCAUCAAGCUCUGCUUGCGUUGGGGAUCCGCGGCUGCCCGCGGUCCCUCAAAAACAGUGGCGGGCUCGCUAGUCACACCGAGCGUAGUAACUCUACAUCGCUAUGGUCGUGCGGCGGGUUCUUGCCGUAAAACCCCCAAUUUCUAAGGUUGACCUCGGAUCAGGUAGGAAUACCGGCUGAAAUUAGGC
rnacentral:misc_RNA from 1 species